UACGUAGGGGGCAAGCGUUGUCCGGAUUUACUGGGUGUAAAGGGCGCGUAGGCGGGUUUGUAAGUCAGUGGUGAAAUCUCACAGCUUAACUGUGAAACUGCCAUUGAUACUGCAGAUCUUGAGUUCGGAAGAGAGAGAUGGAAUUCCAGGUGUAGUGGUGAAAUACGUAGAUAUCUGGAAGAACACCAGAGGCGAAGGCGAUCUCUUGGUCCGUAACUGACGUUGAGGCGCGAAAGCGUGGGUAG
rnacentral:rRNA from 1 species